rnacentral:lncRNA from 1 species
GGGUUUUGAGUGAAAUCCAAUCCCUAGAACUAUACAUUAAACCAACCACUCCAUUUCAGAACGAACUUCAUACGAAAUUUAAUUGUGAAAUUUCGUGGACCAUCGGAUUGAUUCCAAAAGUUGGGGAGCAUCAUAAUAUUGUGGGAGGAGUCAUUUGGUGUGUUUUGAGAGAAAUCCAAUCUCUAGAACUAUACAAUACACCAACCACCCCAUUUAUGAACGAACUUCGUACGAACCUGCAUUGUCCGAUUUCAAGGACCAAUCGAUAUCGGAUUGAGUCCGAAACUUUUGGAACAUCAUAAUAUUGUGGGAGGAGUCAUUUGGUGGGUUUUGAGUGAAAUCCAAUCUCCAGAACUAUACAAUACACAAACCACCGCAUUUCAGAACGAACUUCGUACAAACCUGAAUUGUCCGAUUUCAAGGACUAAUCGAUAUC